rnacentral:tRNA from 16 species
UGGUAGCUCAGUGGUAAAUUACUGGGCUGCAGCAUGGAUGGUCCUGGGUUCCAUUCCCGGCA